rnacentral:tRNA from 1 species
GUCCGUGGCGCAAUCGGUUGGCGCGUUAGGCUGUUAUCCUAUAGGUUAGUGGUUCAAGCCCACCCUGGGAUG